rnacentral:misc_RNA from 1 species
UCAAUAACUACUUCAAUCGACUCAUCAAGAUCAUGAUAGUCAAAAUCCGGUGAGUACUUUACGAAAACCGGCUUUUGAGCAACCCCCAUCAUUGCUUGCAUAUGGUCGCGCAUAGGGCUUUUAUUCUGAGCGGCUGUCAAGCCCGGCGUGUUUGGAGAUGAUGGGUUAAAUACAAAAUAAUCGGCGAUAUCAUUGAAUCUCAGCACAACCUUGGCAUGAUAUUCAGGAGAAUGUUCCAUACCAAGUUCUUUAUUCCUGCCGACGUUCAACCCUAGUACG